UGGCCACAACAACACAUUCAGACUGUUUUAAUGGCAUAAAAAUACAGAUCCUGCUGAUGACGGCUCAGUUACAGACUCUCAACAGCACAUAUUACAGCUUGUUAGCAAACAACCUGCGAUAAAGUACGGGAAGCAAGUGAAACGCGACACAUUGAUUAAAGAAUGUCUUUGGACUACACAUCUACCCAACAGAAGCAGAGUUCAAGGUAUCUGUCUGCCUAGCCUGCUCCGCCUCCAUCUCUCACAUCCUGGUCAUCCCAUUCCACUCCCCUCCAGGUGUGUCUUUCGCUCAUGUCCAGGUUUACCGCCCCAGUUUUGUGCUUUUCAGGUCACUGUCAUGCGCCAUCCGACUCUCUUUGGCUUCGCGUCAUCCUCCUGGCCACUGUCAGUAUUGGCCAACUUUUUUCAUUUUCACCUCUUGUCUCAUGCCAUCCAGGCCACUGUCGGUUGCCAGCCGACAUGCUUUGGUUUCGCCCCAGGUAUUGUGCCAUCUAGGCCACUGUUGGGUCAUCCCAAGUUGCUGAAGUGGGGUUUGAACCCAUGCUUCUACCGUAACCUUGUCCGCAACCAACGUGUGUCUAGCCACUAGUGCCAUCGUGGCUUUCAUACUGAUAGUUGACAUUUGGGGCACUUUGUUCAGAAUAUUUUAGGUUUCAGCAAUUUAAUGUCAGCAAUAGGUGGAUUCGAACCCGGGUUUCCAAGAUUAAAACACAACACCUUAUGUCUUGAGCCACAAAGUCUGGCAAGUUGAGCAGUGUUU